rnacentral:rRNA from 1 species
CCUGAUGCAGCCAUGCCGCGUGUAUGAAGAAGGCCUUCGGGUUGUAAAGUACUUUCAGUUGUGAGGAAGGGUGUGUAGUUAAUAGCUGCGCAUCUUGACGUUAGCAACAGAAGAAGCACCGGCUAACUCCGUGCCAGCAGCCGCGGUAAUACGGAGGGUGCGAGCGUUAAUCGGAAUUACUGGGCGUAAAGCGCAUGCAGGUGGUUCAUUAAGUCAGAUGUGAAAGCCCGGGGCUCAACCUCGGAACUGCAUUUGAAACUGGUGAACUAGAGUGCUGUAGAGGGGGGUAGAAUUUCAGGUGUAGCGGUGAAAUGCGUAGAGAUCUGAAGGAAUACCAGUGGCGAAGGCGGCCCCCUGGACAGAUACUGACACUCAGAUGCGAAAGCGUGGGGAGCAAACAGGAUUAGAUACCCUGGUAGUCCACGCCGUAAACGAUGUCUACUUGGAGGUUGUGGCCUUGAGCCGUGGCUUUCGGAGCUAACGCGUUAAGUAGACCGCCUGGGGA